GGGCGCUUAGCUCAGCUUGGUUAGAGCACCUGCUUUACACGCAGGGGGUCGGGGGUUCGAGUCCCUCAGCGCCCA
rnacentral:tRNA from 2 species